UACGUAGGGUGCGAGCGUUGCCCGGAUUUAUUGGGCGUAAAGGGCGCGUAGGCGGCUCGGCACGUCCGUUGUGAAAUCGCCCGGCUCAACUGGGCGGGGUCGGCGGAUACGGCCGAGCUGGAGCGAGCUAGGGGGUAAUGGAAUUCCCGGUGUAGUGGUGGAAUGCGUAGAUAUCGGGAGGAACACCAGUGGCGAAGGCGGUUACCUGGAGCUUUGCUGACGCUGAUGCGCGAAAGCGUGGGGAGCGAUCCGG
rnacentral:rRNA from 1 species